rnacentral:rRNA from 1 species
AGUGAACGCUGGCGGUAGGCCUAACACAUGCAAGUCGAACGGCAGCACAGGAGAGCUUGCUCUCUGGGUGGCGAGUGGCGGACGGGUGAGGAAUACAUCGGAAUCUACUCUGUCGUGGGGGAUAACGUAGGGAAACUUACGCUAAUACCGCAUACGACCUACGGGUGAAAGCAGGGGAUCUUCGGACCUUGCGCGAUUGAAUGAGCCGAUGUCGGAUUAGCUAGUUGGCGGGGUAAAGGCCCACCAAGGCGACGAUCCGUAGCUGGUUUGAGGGGAUGAUCAGCCACACUGGAACUGAGACACGGUCCAGACUCCUACGGGAGGCAGCAGUGGGGAAUAUUGACAAUGGGCGCAAGCCUGAUCCAGCCAUACCGCGUGGGUGAAGAAGGCCUUCGGGUUGUAAAGCCCUUUUGUUGGGAAAGAAAUCCAGCUGGCUAAUACCCGGUUGGGAUGACGGUACCCAAAGAAUAAGCACCGGCUAACUUCGUGCCAGCCGCCGCCGUAA